GGUCACGUGACAGCCCUUUACAAAAUGUACCAGCUUUGGGAAGCGGACACGCCAUUUUGUUUUCAGAUGGCUGUUGAAGAGAGGAUGUCUGGCGACAAUGGUAACAAAGCUGAGGUCAGGGAUGGCAACCGCAUUUUAUUUUUAAACUGUAACCAUAUUGUAGAAUAAACGAUGUUAUUCCUG